GCUCAGGAUGAACGCUAGCUACAGGCUUAACACAUGCAAGUCGAGGGGUGGCAGGGUAGCAAUACCGCUGACGACCGGCGCACGGGUGAGUAACACGUAUCCAACCUUCCCAUAACUCGGGGAUAGCCUUUCGAAAGAAAGAUUAAUACCCGAUAGUACUUUAUUAAGGCAUCUUAAGAAAGUUAAAGAUUUAUUGGUUAUGGAUGGGGAUGCGUUCCAUUAGAUAGUUGGUGAGGUAACGGCUCACCAAGUCUUCGAUGGAUAGGGGUUCUGAGAGGAAGGUCCCCCACAUUGGUACUGAGACACGGACCAAACUCCUACGGGAGGCAGCAGUGAGGAAUAUUGGUCAAUGGGCGAGAGCCUGAACCAGCCA
rnacentral:rRNA from 1 species